rnacentral:rRNA from 1 species
GGUUAAGCGACUAAGCGUACACGGUGGAUGCCCUGGCAGUCAGAGGCGAUGAAGGACGUGCUAAUCUGCGAUAAGCGUCGGUAAGGUGAUAUGAACCGUUAUAACCGGCGAUUUCCGAAUGGGGAAACCCAGUGUGUUUCGACACACUAUCAUUAACUGAAUCCAUAGGUUAAUGAGGCGAACCGGGGGAACUGAAACAUCUAAGUACCCCGAGGAAAAGAAAUCAACCGAGAUUCCCCCAGUAGCGGCGAGCGAACGGGGAGCAGCCCAGAGCCUGAAUCAGUGUGUGUGUUAGUGGAAGCGUCUGGAAAGGCGCGCGAUACAGGGUGACAGCCCCGUACACAAAAAUGCACAUGCUGUGAGCUCGAUGAGUAGGGCGGGACACGUGGUAUCCUGUCUGAAUAUGGGGGGACCAUCCUCCAAGGCUAA